UCGCCCCGCCCGCCGCCCCGGGGGCCCCCGAGACGCGGCGAGGGGCGCCUCCGCCUCCCACCCGCCCGGCUGCCUCUGGGCCUCGAGAGACCUUCCCCCUCUCCCUGCCGGUCCCCUGGCGCUUGGAGAAGAACUUUGCCGAAUCUGACUCAGCUCCUGGGGGUAGAUGGUUUCAGCGGGAGGAGGGAAAUCAUAUGUCUACCCAUGAGCCCAGGUGAAAGGCUGCUGGCAAAUUGCUUGGAGUUCUUCAGACCAGUGUACACAAAGGUGAGUUAGGCAGCCCUCCUGGCAGCUUGGGACACAGGCAAGGAUGAGGACUGUCUGCCCAGAAUGUCAGCAUCCCCUGAUUGUAGGCUGGACGGCGGGUCACCUUGGAACCUAUCUCCAUGCUGGUGCCAGGCUAAUCUCAACCAAGAAAAAAGCUCACAAAUAGCAUGACAGUCUGAGCCUCUGUCGCUUCCAAAGAACAGUCAAUAGGGAAAUAUAUAGAGCACUAUUGGCAAAACAAAGAUUUGUGUUAUCUUGCAGGACUCAAUAACCUUGGGUGAAAAUUCGGGACAGCGGGUGAAAGAGUGCGAGAACGAAUAAGGACGCGGCCUGAGAGGCAGCCAGGCGGCGUUGUGCCUAAAUAUGAUUUUUAAGGGCCUUCCCAAGGCACUAAUCAAGAAGCCCAAAUGAUAAUAUGGUUUAUAUCAUUUGAGUCUGCGAAGAAGAUUCUGGCCACCAGCUGUUCUAAUUGUUUCUUUGGCUUAUUUAAAACUUUGCAUAAAUAACUUUAAUAGUUUUUAUGUAAAAGAGUACUAAUGACCACACUUGUGUGACUAAUAAACUCCCAAAUAUCAUAGCUUCUUUUCUUAUAAUUUUUUCUUUUUUUCUUUCUUUUCUUUUUUUUUCUUUUUUUUUUUUUUUUUUGGCUUUUUGCCAUUUCUAGGGCCGCUCCCAAGGCAUACGGAGGUUCCCAGGCUAGGGGUCAAAUCGGAGCUAUAGUUGCCAGCCUACACCACAGUCACAGCAACACCAGAUCCGAGCCGCGUCUGCGACCUACACCACAGCUCACGGCAACGCCGGAUCCCUAACCCACUGAGCAAGGCUAGGGAUUGAACGCGCAACCUCAUGGUUCCUAGUCGGAUUCUUAACCACUGAGCCAUGAUGGGAACUCC
rnacentral:lncRNA from 9 species